ensembl:lncRNA
GGCCCGGGCCCCACUCCUGCUGGAGCGUGAACGCCUCUGAAUGGCUUCAGGGUCUUUUGGCCCAGCUUUUUUAGUGUGUUUCUCAAGAGCAGGUCCCCGUCCUCCUUAUCAGGAAAUAAAAUGUUACUGACCAAGUCUGCUUGCGCUGACUAAUUUCUUUUAUAACACAGUUUUGUUGCCAGCCCUCCCAAGUCAGUCCCCAAUAAGGAUCCUCCUGACUGGUGUCAUUAGAGCCAACAGAAUGAGACUGAGUUUGGUUUAGAAGCAAAGAAAAAACUAUUCUUUGAUCAAAAAACCAAAAGAUGUGAGCUCUGGAUCUAGAGUCCACGGUCUCUCAGACAGGUGGGGCUGCUUUAUAGAUCCUGCCAGCUGGGAGCGGGCGGGGUUGGGGCCCAGUUCCCGGCUCUGGACCACAAUGCCUCGGGCAGCGUCUCUGCAUUAGCUGCUGCCAUCUUGAAUAGCAGUGCUGUGCUUGGUGCUGAGGUACUGGGCAGCCCUUUCAACUCAGAACUCUGGUCUGAAGGUCUGGGUGCGAGGCCUCUGUCCUUGGGGCCUGUGAGCAAGUGAGACCAGACUAAGCACCAAGGAAGAGAAGAACAGUUAGACUUUGUUUUAUUAACCACACUCUGUUUUUCUUUCCUGCGAUGAUUAAAGGGCUUUGCUGGUGACAACUCCCUCUUCUUUUAUCCUGAUCCUCAUUUUCAAGGGCGCAGGUCCUAGUCUGUAAACAUUUCCUGCUGAUUUGGGGGCAUCAUCAGAACCCCGGGGGGAGGAGCAAGACUUCUCCCCAUCCCCUUCAGGUGGAAAAAAGGGUGAUAUAAUCAUCUACCUCUCUCAUCGUUGUCAGAAGUGUGGAACCAGAAAGUGCAUGUACAUAAUCAUUUGCAUUGUAAGAGCUUGGAAAAAAGGUAGCAACUGAUGGAAAUGAACAAAUAUUUGCUGCACAUGGGAUCUUCAGCCUUCAUUGCAGCAUACGGGAGCAGCAUGUGGGAGCUAGUUCCCUGACCGCGGAUUGAACCCAGGCCCCCUGCAUUGGGAAUGUGGGGUCGAAGCCCCUGAAUCACCAGAGAAGUCAGUAGAAGAGAGUUUUGCCACCUUGUACUGAAUAAAUGGGAAUCACUGGUCUAGUUUGAAUAUUUAAAUGGGAGCCCAGCAGAGAUUCUCAGGAAGGGGACGGUGUCAUCUGUGGAGGAAUAGCAUUCUCAAAGAUCUCUCGCAAAGUCACAGAGUAUGAACUCUCCACCAGCUCUUGGCCCUUUCCACGGAGCUCAGGCCCAGAUGCUGGAAAACAGGAGCCCUCUGCCAAGGGUUUAGCUACAUCAAAUCAGCUCAACCCGAAGGACUGCAGAGGGCAAACCUGAAAAACGCCCAGAACACAUUCUUCUGCUGCCUGUUUGUUCUGUUUCUUUCCCACAAGAAACAGUUGUUCUUAUGAACUGGAUACAAGUCUCACCCACAAGAAGAAUCGAUAACCUUAAAAAACCUGGGGAAAAUAAAACCACCCUGGCUUGGGGCAUCAUGACCCAGGAUUCUGAUUUGGCUUUUUUUUUUUUCCUUUUCCUUCUCAAAGAUAACAAAUAAAUUAAUGCGGAAAGCCACAUCCAUAUUGGAAAGGCUUGUCUCUUUUUCCACAUACCCUCAGCGAUAUCGAGGGCUUUGUGAUAAAUAAGUUUGUCAGGAGUUCUUUUCAGGAAACUCAACCACAAUUUUAGUCUUGUCUAUUCAACACAUUGUUCAGAAAUGUUUUGGUAACCUUUAAAGUCCUACUCUAGGAGAGAGUUUCCCAUACCCUUCAAUUAAGUUUUUUCCUAUUUUGAAGGUCAUUAAGACUUUGGAAGAUAUUCUUAUACGUGACUUUGAGUCAUGAGUCCGUGUCCUCAGCUGAAGAGGCAGGAAGGUCCACGCUUGUGAGGAAACGUUCCACCAAACUGUGCUGUUCCAGGGCCUCGCUGGUCAGGAAGGGGAGCCUGGGGGUGUUGGACACAGCUGCCUACUAGCAAGGGCUCACUGAUGAGGGGGGGCUUCAUCUGCUGUGGUCGAUGCCAGGGUGUGACCAGACCUAAAGUAAUGAGGGUGGGGGACCCAUUCCAUGGGAAGGUUAUGAGAAACUCUGAAGGGGAGGGGCUUGAUCCUCCCACUCCACGGAAACCUGGUUGUAACAGGGACUCAGGUAUUUGUACACCUACGUUCACAGUAGUGUUAUUUACAGUAGAAACAGAAGCAAUCCACGUGACCUUGAAUGGAUAAACAAAAUGUGCUAUAAAACCCUAAAUAUUCAUUGGAAGGACUGAUGCUGAGGCUCCAAUACUUUGGCCACCUGAUACUAAGAGGCAACUCACUGGAAAGGGACUUGAGGCUGGAAAAGAUUGAAGGCAGGAGGAGAAGGGGGGGCAGAACAUGAGAUGGUUGGAUAGCAUCACAAACUCAAUGGACGUGAGUUUGAGUGAACUGGGA